CCCGCCCCAGCACCCCCCCGGACUCCUACCAGCAGCUCAACGUGGAUAAUGGGAACGUGACAGACAUCAAUGACAACAGGAGUGACCUGUCCUGCGCCUGCGAGGCCGAGGAGGCGGCCAAGCUCUUCCCCCUGCGCCAGGAGACGGCAGCCAGUUAAUGCCCCCCAGGUG